UAGGAAAGGCUUUAGAUACUGAGGGC
rnacentral:piRNA from 1 species